rnacentral:rRNA from 1 species
GAUGAACGCUGGCGGCGUGCCUAAUACAUGCAAGUCGAGCUAACAGAUAAGGAGCUUGCUCCUUUGACGUUAGCGGCGGACGGGUGAGUAACACGUGGGUAACCUACCUAUAAGACUGGGAUAACUUCGGGAAACCGGAGCUAAUACCGGAUAACAUUUGGAACCGCAUGGUUCUAAAGUGAAAGAUGGUUUUGCUAUCACUUAUAGAUGGACCCGCGCCGUAUUAGCUAGUUGGUAAGGUAACGGCUUACCAAGGCAACGAUACGUAGCCGACCUGAGAGGGUGAUCGGCCACACUGGAACUGAGACACGGUCCAGACUCCUACGGGAGGCAGCAGUAGGGAAUCUUCCGCAAUGGGCGAAAGCCUGACGGAGCAACGCCGCGUGAGUGAUGAAGGGUUUCGGCUCGUAAAACUCUGUUAUUAGGGAAGAACAAACGUGUAAGUAACUGUGCACGUCUUGACGGUACCUAAUCAGAAAGCCACGGCUAACUACGUG